GGGGAAUAUUGGACAAUGGGGGCAACCCUGAUCCAGCCAUGCCGCGUGAGUGAUGAAGGCCCUAGGGUUGUAAAGCUCUUUUGUGCGGGAAGAUAAUGACGGUACCGCAAGAAUAAGCCCCGGCUAACUUCGUGCCAGCAGCCGCGGUAAUACGAAGGGGGCUAGCGUUGCUCGGAAUCACUGGGCGUAAAGGGUGCGUAGGCGGGUCCUUAAGUCAGGGGUGAAAUCCUGGAGCUCAACUCCAGAACUGCCUUUGAUACUGAGGAUCUUGAGUUCGGGAGAGGUGAGUGGAACUGCGAGUGUAGAGGUGAAAUUCGUAGAUAUUCGCAAGAACACCAGUGGCGAAGGCGGCUCACUGGCCCGAUACUGACGCCGAGGCACGAAAGCGUGGGGAGCAAACAG
rnacentral:rRNA from 1 species